UUAGGUGACUAUAGCGUUGGGGUCCACCUCUUCCCAUUCCGAACAGAGAAGUUAAGCCCAACAGCGCCGAUGGUACUGCCCAAAAGGUGGGAGAGUAGGUCGUCGCCAUUU
rfam:Candidatus Amoebophilus asiaticus 5a2, complete genome.